rnacentral:tRNA from 1 species
GGCGAGGUAGCUCAGCUGGUUAGAGCGCAUGAUUCAUAAUCAUGAGGUCGUCGGAUCAUGCCCGACUCUCGCUA